rnacentral:lncRNA from 1 species
AAAAAAAAAAAGAAAGAUGUUGUGUAAUAAGUGAAGUCUUUCCAGAAGUUCCGACCAACUAAAAGAAAGGUGUAAAGGUGAAGCACGGGAAAAGUUGAGACUAAAAUGCAGAAAUUCCAAGUAAAGAAACGUUUUCACCAAGUUUGUUGAGUUCCCAAAUUUUUAAUACAUGACGAAGCGACUAGUGCGGCUAAAGAAGAAACUGACUGGCCGUGAAGAAUGGGGUAUAAGUCCAAACUCAAACCAGAUACAGCGUUAAAGCGCAACAUGUAUCGCAAGUUUCACUUUUAUACAUCUAUGGCUUCAAACUUGAGAUAUAGUAAAUUCGAGACCUAAUAUACAAUCACCAAGUCAACCCAAAGUAUUUAUUAACAUUUCGGUCAAACGUUCGGGAGAAAAAGGAGGGAAUCUGCUUUCUUGCCAGAGAUACAUCCCUUUGUAUCAGUAGCACUCAUCAUGUAACAUGUAGACAUAAAAAGAUAUAUCUCUAC